GCUCCCAUGGCGUAGUGGUCACUGCACUCGCCUUGCACGCGGGAGACCCGGGUUCAAUUCCCGGCAGGGUCA
rnacentral:tRNA from 1 species